UACGAAGGGAGCUAGCGUUGUUCGGAAUCACUGGGCGUAAAGCGCACGUAGGCGGAUGUGUCAGUCAGGGGUGAAAUCCCAGAGCUCAACUCUGGAACUGCCUUUGAUACUGGGUAUCUGGAGUAUGGAAGAGGUGAGUGGAAUUCCGAGUGUAGAGGUGAAAUUCGUAGAUAUUCGGAGGAACACCAGUGGCGAAGGCGGCUCACUGGUCCAUUACUGACGCUGAGGUGCGAAAGCGUGGGGAGCAAACAGG
rnacentral:rRNA from 1 species